AUCUGGGGUAGGGGAGCGUUGUGUAGGGGUUGAAGGUGUACUGAAAAGAGCGCUGGACACUACACAAGUGAGAAUGCCGGUAUGAGUAACGAAAAGAUCAGUGAGAAUCUGAUCCGCCGAAAGCCCAAGGUUUCCUGAGGAAGGCUCGUCCGCUCAGGGUAAGUCGGGACCUAAGGCGAGGCCGAAAGGCGUAGUCGAAGGACAACAGUUUGAAAUUACUGUACCACCGUAAUCCGCUAUGAGCGAUGGGGUGACGCAGGAGGGUAGUGACGCGGACUGAUGGAUGUCCGUCUAAGCAGUGAGGCUGAUGUGUAGGCAAAUCCGCACAUCGAUAAGGCUGGGCUGUGAUGGGGAGCGAAAAUUAUAGUAGCGAAGGUCAUGAUCUCACACUGCCAAGAAAAGCCUCUAGCCAGGAGAAGGUGCCCGUACCGCAAACCGACACAGGUAGGCGAGAAGAGAAUUCUAAGGCGCGCGGAAGAACUCUCGUUAAGGAACUCGGCAAAAUGACCCCGUAACUUCGGGAGAAGGGGUGCCCCGGUAGUGUGAAUAGCACGAGGGGGCCGCAGUGAAAAGGCCCAAGCGACUGUUUAGCAAAAACACAGGUCUGUGCGAAGCCGCAAGGCGAAGUAUACGGGCUGACGCCUGCCCGGUGCUGGAAGGUUAAGGGGAGUGGUUAGGGGUAACCCGAAGCUAUGAACCGAAGCCCCAGUAAACGGCGGCCGUAACUAUAACGGUCCUAAGGUAGCGAAAUUCCUUGUCAGGUAAAUUCUGACCCGCACGAAUGGCGUAACGACUUGGGCGCUGUCUCAACGAGAGAUCCGGUGAAAUUUUAAUACCUGUGAAGAUGCAGGUUACCCGCGACAAGACGGAAAGACCCCAUGGAGCUUUACUGCAGCUUGAUAUUGAAUUUGGGUACGAUCUGUACAGGAUAGGUGGGAGCCGUAGAAAUCGGAGCGCAAGCUUCGGUGGAGGCGCCGUUGGGAUACCACCCUGAUCGUAUCUAGGUUCUAACCUAGUGCCCUAAUCGGGUACGGGGACCGUGUCAGGCGGGCAGUUUGACUGGGGCGGUCGCCUCCUAAAGAGUAACGGAGGCGUUCCAAGGUUCCCUCAGAAUGGUUGGAAAUCAUUCGCAGAGUGCAAAGGCAUAAGGGAGCUUGACUGCGAGACCUACAAGUCGAGCAGGGACGAAAGUCGGACUUAGUGAUCCGGUGGUACCGCAUGGAAGGGCCAUCGCUCAACGGAUAAAAGCUACCCUGGGGAUAACAGGCUUAUCUCCCCCAAGAGUCCACAUCGACGGGGAGGUUUGGCACCUCGAUGUCGGCUCAUCGCAUCCUGGGGCUGAAGUAGGUCCCAAGGGUUGGGCUGUUCGCCCAUUAAAGCGGUACGCGAGCUGGGUUCAGAACGUCGUGAGACAGUUCGGUCCCUAUCUGUCGUGGGCGCAGGAAAUUUGAGAGGAGCUGUCCUUAGUACGAGAGGACCGGGAUGGACGUACCGCUGGUGCACCAGUUGUUCCGCCAGGAGCAUGGCUGGGUAGCUACGUACGGACGGGAUAAGCGCUGAAAGCAUCUAAGCGUGAAGCCCCCCUCAAGAUGAGAUUUCCCAAUUAGUAAGACCCCUUGAAGACGACGAGGUAGAUAGGUUGGAGGUGGAAGUGCAGCAAUGCAUGGAGCUGACCAAUACUAAUCGGUCGAGGGCUUAUCCUAU
rnacentral:rRNA from 1 species